CAAGAGCGUAUAUUAAUGUUGUUGCAGUUAAAAAGCUCGUAGUUGGAUACAAGGGUGCCGGUUGGGGACACGGGCCCGCGUCCGAGGCUUCUGGCUGAGGGCGUGUGGAAGACCGCCUCAUAUGGCCGGUGCUCUUCACUUCUUGUGGGGUACGAACGUCGGCGGAAGCCACCUUCAUUGGUGGGUGAAGCAAAUAACGGAGUGAUACGCUCCCACAGACGCGCCCACAGAUGUUACUGUGAGCAACUCAGAGUGUCCAAAGCAGCCUACGAUGCAGGCUGAAUGCUAAAGCAUGGAAUAACAAGGGAUCGACCGCUGUGGCCUCCUUUUGUUGGUUUUCAAGCCACCGUGUGGUAACCGCGUGCACGUUCGUCUCCUCCGCUACGACCCCGGUUGUGCGGAGGCAGAGUGCGUGCACAUUCGGGAUCAAUAGGAGCGCGGGAGCAAUCAGUACUUCCGGGUGAGAGGUGAAAUUCAUAGACCCCGGGAAGACUAACAUC
rnacentral:rRNA from 1 species